CACAAAAUGCCGCUCACAGCUGCUGUAAGAGGGGCUUUGAACUCAAAGACUCUGUAGCCCCCACCAGCACCAAAUUCCUGAGGUGGGCUUGUGCCCCCGGUCAGAGCCCAGGCAGCCUCUGUGCUGUGAGGGGUUUGGGUGCUGCGAGCCCCUGACCUACACCCGUAACUGUGUGCGCUGCCUUCCCAACAGAGCCCUCGGCUCCCUCAGGGGUGGAAGAAGCUGGGGUACUGUGAUGGGGGUACCCAUCACAGAGCCCUUUCAUUUUGAGGGCUGAACGGGACAGCUGCCACCUCAGUUCCCAUGGAGAGCUUCCUCACUGCCGUCCAUGCCGCUGCAGAUUUUGGAUGUGUCUCACGGGGAGGCGAGCUGUCCUGGGGGACCUGCAGCCACCCGGGUGGACGUGCCCACUGACCCACUCAUGGACAGCCCCGUGGCCACUCCCAUGCGCCUCGGGGAGUGGCCUCACUGGAACCACGUUCCCUCAGCUGUGAAAUGAAGGCUAAAGGCAGAAGAAUUCAAACAAGGGCCCUUUUGAUGUGACAGAAGUCCAAAUAAACUCCACGCCAUUUUCAUCUCAA